rnacentral:rRNA from 1 species
UACGCAGGGGGCUAGCGUUGCUCGGAAUCACUGGGCGUAAAGCGCACGUAGGCGGCUUUUUAAGUCAGAGGUGAAAUCCUGGAGCUCAACUCCAGAACUGCCUUUGAUACUGAGAGUCUUGAGUAUGACAGAGGUGAGUGGAACUGCGAGUGUAGAGGUGAAAUUCGUAGAUAUUCGCAAGAACACCAGUGGCGAAGGCGGCUCACUGGGUCAUUACUGACGCUGAGGCACGAAAGCGUGGGGAGCAAACAGG